GAACUUAAAGGAAUUGACGGGGACCCGCACAAGCGGCGGAGCAUGCGGAUUAAUUCGAUGCAACGCGAAGAACCUUACCAAGGCUUGACAUACACGAGAACGCCCUAGAAAUAGGGAACUCUUUGGACACUCGUGAACAGGUGGUGCAUGGUUGUCGUCAGCUCGUGUCGUGAGAUGUUGGGUUAAGUCCCGCAACGAGCGCAACCCUCGUUCUAUGUUGCCAGCACGUAAUGGUGGGAACUCAUGGGAUACUGCCGGGGUCAACUCGGAGGAAGGUGGGGAUGACGUCAAAUCAUCAUGCCCCUUAUGUCUUGGGCUUCACGCAUGCUACAAUGGCCGGUACAAAGGGCUGCAAUACCGUAAGGUGGAGCGAAUCCCAAAAAGCCGGUCCCAGUUCGGAUUGAGGUCUGCAACUCGACCUCAUGAAGUCGGAGUCGCUAGUAAUCGCAGAUCAGCAACGCUGCGGUGAAUACGUUCCCGGGUCUUGUACACACCGCCCGUCAAGUCAUGAAAGUCGGUAACACCUGAAGCCGGUGGCCCAACCCUUGUGGAGGGAGCCGUCGAAGGUGGGAUCGGUAAUUAGGACUAAGUCGUAACAAGGUAGCCGUACCGGAAGGUGCGGCUGGAUCACCUCCUUUAUG
rnacentral:rRNA from 1 species